UGUUACUGCGAAGGGGGGACGGAGAAGGCUAUGUUGGCCGGGCGACGGUUGUCCCGGUUUAAGCGUGUAGGCUGGUUUUCCAGGCAAAUCCGGAAAAUCAAGGCUGAGGCGUGAUGACGAGGCACUACGGAUGAUU
rnacentral:rRNA from 1 species